CACGUUGAAACAUCGGUUCCCGUGCGAUCACCGAAGUUAAGCAACUUCGAACAUUGUCAGUACCUGGAUGGUUAACCGCUUGGGAAUACCAUGUGUU